rnacentral:rRNA from 1 species
UACGGAGGGUGCAAGCGUUAUCCGGAUUCACUGGGCUUAAAGGGUGCGUAGGAGGGCAGGUAAGUCAGUGGUGAAAUCUUCGAGCUUAACUCGGAAACUGCCGUUGAUACUAUCUGUCUUGAAUACCGUGGAGAUGAGCGGAAUAUGUCAUGUAGCGGUGAAAUGCGUAGAUAUGACAUAGAACACCAAUUGCGAAGGCAGCUCGUUACACGAAUAUUGACUCUGAGGCACGAAAGCGUGGGGAUCAAACAGG